rnacentral:rRNA from 1 species
AACGAACGCUGGCGGCAGGCUUAACACAUGCAAGUCGAACGCCCCGCAAGGGAAGUGGCAGACGGGUGAGUAACGCGUGGGAAUCUACCGUACCCUACGGAAUAACGCAUGGAAACGUGUGCUAAUACCGUAUACGCCCUACGGGGGAAAGAUUUAUCGGGGUAUGAUGAGCCCGCGUUGGAUUAGCUAGUUGGUGGGGUAAAGGCCUACCAAGGCGACGAUCCAUAGCUGGUCUGAGAGGAUGAUCAGCCACAUUGGGACUGAGACACGGCCCAAACUCCUACGGGAGGCAGCAGUGGGGAAUAUUGGACAAUGGGCGCAAGCCUGAUCCAGCCAUGCCGCGUGAGUGAUGAAGGUCUUAGGAUUGUAAAGCUCUUUCACCGAUGAAGAUAAUGACGGUAGUCGGAGAAGAAGCCCCGGCUAACUUCGUGCCAGCAGCCGCAGUAAAAC